rnacentral:lncRNA from 1 species
GCCGUCGACAGAUGCCCCCCCUACUACGCCUGGUGGCGAGGACUCCCCGCCCGCGCCGUCCAGUGACACCUCUCCGACCACCCCUGGUGGAGGCUACUACCCGCCCACUCCGUCCAGUGGCACUGCUCCAACGACGCCUGUGACCGGAGACUGCCCACCCUCACCGUCCGCCGGCACGUCUCCUACCACCCCUGGCGGUGGCUAUUACCCGCCCUCGCCGUCGACAGGCGCCACCCCUACAACGCCUGGUGGCGGGGACACUCCGCCCGCGCCGUCCAGUGACACCUCUCCGAACACCCCUGGCGGAGGCUACUACCCGCCCACUCCGUCCAGCGGCACUGCCCCAACCACGCCUGGAACUGGAAACUGCCCGCCCUCACCGUCCGCCGGCACCUCUCCGACCACCCCUGGCGGAGGCUACUACCCGCCCACUCCGUCCAGCGGCACUGCCCCAACCACGCCUGGAACUGGAGACUGCCCGCCCUCACCGUCCGCCGGCACCUCUCCUACCACACCUGGCGGUGGCUACUACCCGCCCUCGCCAGCCAGCGGCACUGGGCCUACCACGCCUGGUGG